GGCGGUGUGGCCAAGUGGUACGGCACCUGUUUCCGGUGUUCCUGUUUGCAGGAGUCGCAGGUAUCGCAGGAGAUCGAGGGUUCGAUCCCCUUCACCGUCG
rnacentral:tRNA from 1 species